rnacentral:tRNA from 3 species
UGGUCGGGAUAGCUCAGCUGGUAGAGCAGAGGA